AGCUGGUGCUUGGGGCUCCUGGCGGCUAUUAUUUCUUAGGAUACUCGGUGGCCGUGGGCGAGUUCGACGGGGAUCUCAACACUACAGAGUAUGUCGUCGGUGCCCCCACUUGGAGCUGGACCCUGGGAGCGGUGGAAAUUUUGGACUCCUACUACCAGAGGCUGCAUCGGCUGCGCGGAGAGCAGAUGGCGUCGUAUUUUGGGCAUUCAGUGGCUGUCACUGACGUCAACGGGGAUGGGAGGCAUGAUCUGCUGGUGGGCGCUCCACUGUAUAUGGAGAGCCGGGCAGACCGAAAACUGGCCGAAGUGGGGCGUGUGUAUUUGUUCCUGCAGCCGCGAGGCCCCCAUGCGCUGGGUGCCCCCAGCCUCCUGCUGACUGGCACACAGCUCUAUGGGCGAUUCGGCUCUGCCAUCGCACCCCUGGGUGACCUCGACCGGGAUGGCUACAAUGACAUUGCAGUGGCUGCCCCCUACGGGGGUCCCAGUGGCCGGGGCCAAGUGCUGGUGUUCCUGGGUCAGAGUGAGGGGCUGAGGUCACGUCCCUCCCAGGUCCUGGACAGCCCCUUCCCCACAGGCUCUGCCUUUGGCUUCUCCCUUCGAGGUGCCGUAGACAUCGAUGACAACGGAUACCCAGGUGCCCUGGACUGCCUCCAGCUAGAAAUGCCCAAGAAAGGCCCUUGGACAUUCGCUGGAAGUGCCAAGAGACACGGCCAGGGGCUCAUGCCUGGCCUGGUGUCCCACUAUGGACUGCCAGAGGGGCUGGGUGAAACCUCCAGUGGGGGAGGUGGUGUGGGGAACCCCUGGGAAGAUGAGAUGAGGAUCCCAUGCCCUAAUGGCCAAUUCUGACCCAUUCCUCGAUGUCUAUAGACCUGAUCGUGGGAGCUUACGGGGCCAACCAGGUGGCUGUGUACAGAGCUCAGCCAGUGGUGAAGGCCUCUGUCCAGCUACUGGUGCAAGAUUCACUGAAUCCUGCUGUGAAGAGCUGUGUCCUACCUCAGACCAAGACACCCGUGAGCUGCUUCAACAUCCAGAUGUGUGUUGGAGCCACUGGGCACAACAUUCCUCAGAAGCUAUCCCUAAAUGCCGAGCUGCAGCUGGACCGGCAGAAGCCCCGCCAGGGCCGGCGGGUGCUGCUGCUGGGCUCUCAACAGGCAGGCACCACCCUGAACCU
rnacentral:sRNA from 1 species